rnacentral:rRNA from 1 species
GACGAACGCUGGCGGCGUGCCUAAUACAUGCAAGUAGGACGCAGUUGCGAACGGGUGAGUAACGCGUAGGUCACUGCCUAUGAGAGGGGGAUAACUCUUGGAAACGAUAGCUAAUACCGCAUACUAGUAGAUGGACCUGCGUUGUAUUAGCUAGUAGGUAGGGUAAUGGGCUACCUAGGCAACGCAACAUAGCCGGGCUGAGAGGGGUAUCCGCCCAACUUGGAAUUGGACACGGGCCAGACCUCUAAGGGAGGGAGCAGUAGGGAAUCUGUGGCAAUGGGGGGAACGCUGACCGAGCAACGCCGCGGGAGUGGAGAAGGUUUUCGGAGCGUAAAGCUCUGUUGUUAGGGAAGCGGUACUUAACCAGAAAGGGACGGCUAACUACGUGCCAGCAGCCGCGGUAAUUC